rnacentral:misc_RNA from 1 species
CAAAAAAAUAAGUUAUAUAGUUUUCAAUUACAAAUAAAUACAUAUCCAGACAAUCUCUUACGUCAGAAUUUAAGUAAUGGAUCUAGACGCCCUACUGCAAAACCAAGACAAUGAUUUAUGAGAAGAGACUUUUGAUCACAGAAGCUAAAAGAAAGCAUACGGAGAAAAGUUUGAUCUGCUAUGUUAACAUAGAAAUCAAGCUGACAUUUUACUACCUAACAAUUUUCGAAGCCAAUAUAAAGUCCUUAAGGGCAGGAAUUCUCUUGCAAAUAUAAUCUAUUCGCUCAGGUUUUAACUGGAAGUGGAGUGGCGCAAACCCACAUCAAAAAGACAAGCAAGAUGACCUUGGCGCGAAUUUGAUGAGAAAUGGGAGCAAUACCCAAGCGAGAUAUAAUGAGGUAAGAGGAAUGAUCAGAUCUAAGAAG